rnacentral:rRNA from 1 species
AAUGAAGUUCCUUCGGGAACGGAUUUAGCGGCGGACGGGUGAGUAACACGUGGGCAACCUGCCUCAUAGAGGGGAAUAGCCUUCCGAAAGGGAGAUUAAUACCGCAUAAGAUUGUAGUACCGCAUGGUACAGCAAUUAAAGGAGCAAUCCGCUAUGAGAUGGGCCCGCGGCGCAUUAGCUAGUUGGUGAGGUAACGGCUCACCAAGGCGACGAUGCGUAGCCGACCUGAGAGGGUGAUCGGCCACAUUGGGACUGAGACACGGCCCAGACUCCUACGGGAGGCAGCAGUGGGGAAUAUUGCACAAUGGGGGAAACCCUGAUGCAGCAACGCCGCGUGAGUGAUGACGGCCUUCGGGUUGUAAAGCUCUGUCUUCAGGGACGAUAAUGACGGUACCUGAGGAGGAAGCCACGGCUAACUACGUGCCAGCAGCCGCGGUAAUACGUAGGUGGCGAGCGUUGUCCGGAUUUACUGGGCGUAAAGGGAGCGUAGGCGGAUUUUUAAGUGAGAUGUGAAAUACUCGGGCUUAACCUGAGUGCUGCAUUUCAAACUGGAAGUCUAGAGUGCAGGAGAGGAGAAAGGAAUUCCUAGUGUAGCGGUGAA